rnacentral:rRNA from 1 species
AUUCCGGUUGAUCCUGCCGGAGGUCAUUGCUAUUGGAGUCCGAUUUAGCCAUGCUAGUUGCACGAGUUCAGACUCGUAGCAGAUAGCUCAGUAACACGUGGCCAAACUACCCUAUGGAUCCGAAUAACCUCGGGAAACUGAGGCUAAUUCGGAAUACGGCUCACCACCUGGAGUGGUGUGAGCCCGAAACGCUCCGGCGCCAUAGGAUGUGGCUGCGGCCGAUUAGGUAGACGGUGGGGUAACGGCCCACCGUGCCCAUAAUCGGUACGGGUUGUGAGAGCAAGAGCCCGGAGACGGUAUCUGAGACAAGAUACCGGGCCCUACGGGGCGCAGCAGGCGCGAAACCUUUACACUGCACGAAAGUGCGAUAAGGGGACUCCAAGUGCGAGGGCAUAUAGUCCUCGCUUUUUGCGACCGUAAGGUGGUCGCGGAAUAAGUGCUGGGCAAGACCGGUGCCAGCCGCCGCGGUAAUACCGGCAGCACGAGUGAUGACCGCUAUUAUUGGGCCUAAAGCGUCCGUAGCUGGCCAUGCAAGUCCAUCGGGAAAUCCGCGCGCUUAACGCGCGGGCGUCCGGUGGAAACUGCAUGGCUUGGGACCGGAAAGACCAGAGGGGUACGUCCGGGGUAGGAUGAAAUCCCGUAAUCCUGGACGGACCACCGGUGGCGAAAGCGCCUCUGGAAGACGGAUCCGACGGUGAGGGACGAAAGCUCGGGUCACGAACCGGAUUAGAUACCCGGGUAGUCCGAGCUGUAAACGAUGUCUGCUAGGUGUGGCACAGGCUACGAGCCUGUGCUGUGCCGCAGGGAAGCCGUGAAAGCAGACCGCCUGGGAAGUACGUCGCAAGGAUGAAACUUAAAGGAAUUGGCGGGGGAGCACUACAACCGGAGGAGCCUGCGGUUUAAUUGGACUCAACGCCGGACAUCUCACCAGCAUCGACAAUGUGCAGUGAAAGUCAGGUUGAUGACCUUACUGGAGCCAUUGAGAGGAGGUGCAUGGCCGCCGUCAGCUCGUAACCGUGAGGCGUCCUGUUA